AAAGUCGUAACAAGGUCUCCGUUGGUGAACCAGCGGAGGGAUCAUUACCGAGUUUACAACUCCCACAUCCCCUGUGAACUUUAUACUCUUGUUGCUUCGGCGGGUUUUCAUUUCGCCCCGGAUGGAGGCCCGAGAGGGUCGACGAACCGGAUCCAGGCGCCCGCCGGGGAACUCUCCAAACUCUUGUACUUUAUAGCAUGUCUGAGUGGAAUCAUAUCAAAUGAAUCAAAACUUUCAACAACGGAUCUCUUGGUUCUG
rnacentral:misc_RNA from 1 species